UAGGGAAUCUUCGGCAAUGGGGGCAACCCUGACCGAGCAACGCCGCGUGAGUGAAGAAGGUUUUCGGAUCGUAAAGCUCUGUUGUAAGAGAAGAACGUGUGUGAGAGUGGAAAGUUCACACAGUGACGGUAACUUACCAGAAAGGGACGGCUAACUACGUGCCAGCAGCCGCGGUAAUACGUUGGUCCCGAGCGGUGUCCGGAUUUAUUGGGCGUAAAGGGAGCGCAGGCGGUUUAAUAAGUCUGAAGUUAAAGGCAGUGGCUUAACCAUUGUUCGCUUUGGAAACUGUUAAACUUGAGUGCAGAAGGGGAGAGUGGAAUUCCAUGUGUAGCGGUGAAAUGCGUAGAUAUAUGGAGGAACACCGGUGGCGAAAGCGGCUCUCUGGUCUGUAACUGACGCUGAGGCUCGAAAGCGUGGGGAGCAAACAGG
rnacentral:rRNA from 1 species